CCUUCAACUGGGGUCUAUAGGAGAGGAGUAAAUGGUCUUGCCACAGAUUUAAUCUCUCUGAUUUGAUUCUGUGAGAGAAACUUCACCAUAAGAUUCUAUUCUAUCCAGGUUCCUGUAUUCACCCAUCAUUGUGGUGACUUUCGUCCCUGAAGGUGUGGAAACAAUAUAUUUAACCAUGAAGGCUCCAGAAAUCCUGCUUUGGACAGCAACAGCAUUUCUAUCUUUGAGCUCUGCGCUGGGAGAUUCGGUCAAAUCCAACGAACCCGAAGUGUCUGGAUCAGUUGGAGGUUGUGUGACACUCAGCUGUUCUUACACCACCAGCGCUACCUAUGUCUAUCUCUAUUGGUACCGCCAGUAUCCGAACCAAGCGCCGCAGUACAUUCUCUACAGAGGAGCGAAAUCCUACAGUGAGUUCAGCGAUACCGCAAAUUUCUCCCAGAAGAGGUUUUCUUCCCAGGCUACCGACAGCUCCACAGUUCUGAACAUCACAGCGCUGGAGCUGGCAGACACAGGGGUGUAUUACUGCGCCCUGCAGAGAGCACAGUGACAGAGCCUCAUAGCAGAACCGUACAAAAACCCUCCCUUCCCAGCUGCAGAUAAUGUUGUGCACAUUGAGGUUGGAAGCGGAGCCCCUCGGGAGUUUUGCUGCGCUGUUAAAAACACAAUUUCUGGCUCGGAUGUGGUGCUG